UUAAAAAUGUCGUUUGAAAAUGAAAAUAGAUAUGAAAAUAAAUAUGAUUUUCAUUUUACGCAAAGUAACCAUUUCAUGUACUUAAAAAAACAUUUAAAUGUAAAAUAAUGUAGCUAAAUCCAACGUUAUGUUAAUUACGAUUUUGGUUAUAUUUUAUAUCACAAUAGACGUUAGAACGGCGGAUGCGAUGGAACCUCUAGACAGAGAAAGCGAUACAGAUAAAUCUUUAAAUUCAUCGAGAACGUUGUUCAAUCCCUAUCACCCUGAAGAUGGUGUGUUUUCAGCAGAUGUAACUGAAGAUGUGAUUGAAGAUUUUAAUAAACAAUUCGACUUUAGAGCGGGCGAGUUAACAGAAUUAUCUGUUGAAACUAUAAAACCAGCGAAGGAUCUAAUAGUUAAUGGUAAAAUUUUUCAACUUAUUACGGGGAAGUACCACUCUGUUAAAAGUGAGAGUGAUGGAAAUUGAAGAAAUAAAAAGCCUUGGAUUUUUAAA